rnacentral:rRNA from 1 species
CAUCGCUUAGAGUUGAUCCUGGCUCAGGAUGAACGCUGGCGGCGUGCCUAAUACAUGCAAGUAGAACGCUGAAGGAAGGAGCUUGCUCUUUCUGGAUGAGUUGCGAACGGGUGAGUAACGCGUAGGUAACCUGCCUCUUAGCGGGGGAUAACUAUUGGAAACGAUAGCUAAUACCGCAUAACAGUAGAUAUUGCAUGAUAUCUGCUUGAAAGGUGCAAUUGCAUCACUAAGAGAUGGACCUGCGUUGUAUUAGCUAGUUGGUGAGGUAACGGCUCACCAAGGCGACGAUACAUAGCCGACCUGAGAGGGUGAUCGGCCACACUGGGACUGAGACACGGCCCAGACUCCUACGGGAGGCAGCAGUAGGGAAUCUUCGGCAAUGGGGGCAACCCUGACCGAGCAACGCCGCGUGAGUGAAGAAGGUUUUCGGAUCGUAAAGCUCUGUUGUAAGUCAAGAACGAGUGUGAGAGUGGAAAGUUCACACUGUGACGGUAGCUUACCAGAAAGGGACGGCUAACUACGUGCCAGCAGCCGCGGUAAUACGUAGGUCCCGAGCGUUGUCCGGAUUUAUUGGGCGUAAAGCGAG